GGGCGGUUAGCUCAGUUGGCUAGAGCGCAUCCUUCACACGGAUGAGGUCGGAAGUUCGAGUCUUCUACCGCCCACCA
rnacentral:tRNA from 1 species